UUGGCUCAGUGGUUAGAGCGUUGGCCUGCGGAGUCAAGGGUCCCAGGUUCGAUUCCGGCA
rnacentral:tRNA from 1 species